CGCCGACGGAGUUCGGCGCAGCGUUGAGGUCGCUGUGGGGCAACCCGUGGAAGUUCGAGUCUUCUCGACCGCACCA
rnacentral:tRNA from 1 species